rnacentral:rRNA from 1 species
UACGGGGGGGGCAAGCGUUGUUCGGAAUUACUGGGCGUAAAGGGCUCGUAGGCGGCCAACUAAGUCAGACGUGAAAUCCCCAGGCUUAACCUGGGAACUGCGUCUGAUACUGGAUGGCUUGAAUUCGGGAGAGGGAUGCAGAAUUCCAGGUGUAGCGGUGAAAUGCGUAGAUAUCUGGAGGAAUACCGGUGGCGAAGGCGGCAUCCUGGACCGAGAUUGACGCUGAGGCGCGAAAGCCAGGGGAGCAAACGGG